CACAUGCAAGUCGAACGAGAUGCGUAUCGGAAAGCUUCGGCCGGAAGAUACGUUAUCUAGUGGCGGACGGGUGAGUAACACGUGGGUAACCUGCCUUAUGGAGGGGGAUAACAGAGAGAAAUCACUGCUAAUACCGCAUAAGCACACAGUACCGCAUGGUACAGGGUGAAAAGAUUUAUCGCCAUAAGAUGGACCCGCGUCUGAUUAGCCGGUUGGCAGGGUAAAAGCCUACCAAAGCAACGAUCAGUAGCCGAUCUGAGAGGAUGACCGGCCACAUUGGGACUGAGACACGGCCCAAACUCCUACGGGAGGCAGCAGUGGGGAAUAUUGCACAAUGGGGGAAACCCUGAUGCAGCGACGCCGCGUGAGUGAAGAAGUAUUUCGGUAUGUAAAGCUCUAUCAGCAGGGAAGAUAAUGACAGUACCUGACUAAGAAGCCCCGGCUAACUACGUGCCAGCAGCCGCGGUAAUACGUAGGGGGCAAGCGUUAUCCGGAUUUACUGGGUGUAAAGGGAGCGUAGACGGAAUGGCAAGUCUGAAGUGAAAUACCCGGGCUCAACCUGGGAACUGCUUUGGAAACUGUUGUUCUAGAGUGUUGGAGAGGUAAGUGGAAUUCCUGGUGUAGCGGUGAAAUGCGUAGAUAUCAGGAAGAACACCGGAGGCGAAGGCGGCUUACUGGACAAUAACUGACGUUGAGGCUCGAAAGCGUGGGGAUCAAACAGGAUUAGAUACCCUGGUAGUCCACGCUGUAAACGAUGAAUACUAGGUGUCGGGGUGCAAAGCAUCUCGG
rnacentral:rRNA from 1 species